AUUGAACGCUGGCGGCAUGCUUUACACAUGCAAGUCGAACGGCAGCACGGGGGUAACCCUGGUGGCGAGUGGCGAACGGGUGAGUAAUGCAUCGGAACAUAUCUUAAAGUGGGGAAUAACGCAUCGAAAGGUGUGCUAAUACUCCAUAUACUCUAAGGAGGAAAGCGGGGGAUCGAAAGACCUCGUGCUUUAAGGGUGGCCGAUGUCUGAUUAGCUAGUUGGUGGGGUAAAGGCUUACCAAGGCGACGAUCAGUAGCUGGUCUGAGAGGACGAUCAGCCACACUGGGACUGAGACACGGCCCAGACUCCUACGGGAGGCAGCAGUGGGGAAUUUUGGACAAUGGGCGAAAGCCUGAUCCAGCCAUGCCGCGUGAGUGAAGAAGGCC
rnacentral:rRNA from 1 species